UUUUUUACUUGCCGUUCUUACAGAUGAUGUAGCUAUUAUUCCAGAUCAAUAUACACAACUAUUAUUCUAGAUAAAUAUACACGGUCAUGAUGGCUUUCCCUAAAAACAAGAACUCUCACUAGCGAGUGCCCAAAUCUCCUUGAUUGUGCCAUCGGCUCCAUCGAGCGAGCAGAACACCUCCGGCAAGUACCAUCUACAGAGAUCACAUAGAACUGACAUAAGCUUUAAUAUUUUCUCAAAAACAAUACUUUUUGGGUAUGACAGUACAACUUACGUCUUCAAUUCAAGGCAUGACAACACAAUCAAAUAGCUUUUUAAUCAUGUCCUAAGUUCAUGUUGAUCAUGUCCUAAGUUCAUGUUGUGAUUUUUUGGUCGUUGUUGUAGAUCAACUUCGCAUUCUCGAUUGUAAUCUUAUCAUAUUCUUAGAGUUUCAUCUUUCUCAACAGAACAUAAUCAGCACUAUAAUCCACGUCCUUAAUUUCACGUGUGACAACACAAUCAAAUACUGUCUCUGUCCAUUAAUAUAAGAUGUUUUUUAGACUUUCCAUAUAAAACAUCUUAUAUUAAUGAACAGGGUCAGUUAUUUUAAUUUCAGACAGGGCCCUAAGUUCACCUUGGGAUUUUUCAGUCGUCAUUGUACAUGAACUUGCCAUCCUCAAUUGCAAUCUUACUCUUCACUAAACAUAUGAUUUUAUGGACCUUCAUAUAACUACACCACUCGGGUAAAAGGUACUCACAAUAUUUGUCUUUUCAAAUGAAGAUUGGAACUUAACAUCCACUGGUCCUGGAAAUUGAUCUCCUUUACUUCUACAAGAAAGACGAAAUUUUUGUAAGCAGAAAAAACUACCAAAAUCAUAAAUCUUCAUAACCUUGAGCAGUACUCCAUAACGAUUUUACAAUUUCUCAUCUUCUUCAGUAAUAUGUGCAUUCUCCAUUGUGCAGGAAGAAACAAAGGAAAUAAAAGGUGGGCUUCAUAGCAAAAAUGUGUGAAAUCUUCCAAGUUGGUUAAAAGAAUCAAAUAUGCAAUACAACAAGUUGAUCCAUUACUAACCAUGAUCUUCAAUAGGUGGCAUCAUAAGAAGAAGAAAAUAAGCUUGGAUUUGAGAUUCAAGUAGGCACACAUGGGUUUGUGAUUUAAGCUUGGACGGGGGAAAUAUUUCAAAUUAUAUCUUACUGAUGUCAAUCUAGUCAAUAAACAAUGAAAAGUUAGGACACGAGAAUGAAACAUCAAGACAAGAAAAAGAAAAAAAAAUUGAUCAUACAUGGAGAUGUGCCAGACUGCACAAUUAUGCCAAAAGAAGAACCUCUGAACCACGUGCGGGAAGAAAAUCUUUACAAACUUAUUUCCUUAUGUGUAUUAUCAUCCACUAUCUUUACAUACUGUUCUGAAUUCAACUGCUAAACUUCUCUUGCAUGAUGCACGACUGUAAUAAGGUAUAUUCGAAAUAGUAUUAUAGCUUGCUUCUGCUUUGCACAUCAAUUGUGCUAUCUAUGUGUUCCAUUCUUUCCAUGCUUACAAAAGUUUAUUGAAUACCCAGUAUAUUUGAUGUACAAAUAUCUGAUCUUACACAGUUUACCGUACGCAAAUGGUUAUCACGCCCGUCGGCCUAUGCAUUUCCAUAUGAUCUACAGCUAAUUUAAAGUGGUGUAUUAAAGUAAAGAAAACAUGUUACAUUCGUUCUUGCAGAAAAACUAUCAAUUAUUUCUUUGUCAAAAAAACAUGAGAACACAUUGCCAUGUAGUAUGGCUUAACCAAGACAGGGGCAAAAUCAGCAUUUUUUAAUUGCCGCAGGGAACCAUAUCAUGUAUAGGCAUUCAACAUGGACUUUGACAACUACUACAAGUAAUAAAUUGCACAUGUCGCAGAAAAAUUAUCUCAUUUCUAAUAAAUGGUAUUUAUGUUUAUGCAGGGCUGGUAAUUCAACAGAGAUAGCUAGAUAGGUAAGACUAUAUGGGAAAAUAAAAAAUACAAAGAAAGAGCAAUGCAGAACCAGUGACACAAAAGAAUUCAAUAAUAAGUCAGGCUGGAAUGACUAAGAGGUAAGUAACAAGAAAGUUCAAUCAAGAUCUACAAUUUGGAUAUUCAUGAACCUGGUAUUUCUUUUAUGCACGCGUACAGGACUAAAAGUAACACAAUGUGUACAACAUAGAAACGAGGAUAGGGAAAGAAACUCCAGAGAUGUAAGUUCUAUGAAAUUUGUUUGUUUAGUAUGAAGAAGAACAACCAGACAUUACAAACAUUUAAAUUGAUGCUGAAUUCAAAAUCUUGAACAGGACAUCAGAGAGGACGAAUAUGGAAAUUAGGCAACGUCGGAAACCCAAGCUGCAAGUGUGAGUGAUGUGAUGCAAUUCUCUGUUACGAAGAAACAACCUCAGGUAGAGCGAGAAGCAUGCCAUCUUUUGGGCUAGGCUGCCAACGGGGCAAGGUUGACUUGCCACCAUCAGGAGAGCCGCCGGCUAACCGUACGAAUUUUUUAAGGAAACACAACGGAAGGAGGUGGAAAAACUACAUGCAAAAUAUCAGUUUGAACAACUCCAUGUUCGCUUUCACGUCAAUGGGAGGAAUGGUAGACACAGAAAUAAACAAUGGCCACGGACGUUAUAUAUUUGUCAUGAAUGGCCAAAAAUACCACAGAAUAGGUACUCUAUUACCUGAAGGUAAGGACGAACCACGCACAACGGAGUUGUACACAUAUGACGCUACAAAUGAGGUAAAAUCAGGAUUGACACGUCAACAUCAGAAGACAAAAGGGAGUCAAGAGAUCCUCACUUUGUCGGGGGCCUUAAAAAAUGUUGGAUAGAGAUAAUAGACUAGCAAAAACACUGAGAAUGGCAAGGGAUAAAUUUGAAAAGAUGACUAUUACAACGUGAGAUUAAUACGACAUGGCAUGCCAUCUGCAACUGUAGUUUCAGCCUUGAUUGUGAAUGAUACAACACAGAAUAGAAAAGGACAGGACAACAUUGUUCACUACAAAGACAUGAGACCCAAGAAUAUCAGAGAACCAUUCAACAUUCAUGCCUAUGCAGUAUCAAUUAUUAUUCCCCAGCGGAGAAGAUGUGUAGAGAGAAAAUAUACAUUACACAUUAAAAGAAGGUGCAAAGUGGAAGAGAAAGCAUAUAACAUUGUUGGAAUACUAUGAGAAUCAUAUACAACAAUGUACUAACCUGUCAAAACACUUGCUGGUGUGUGAAAAGCCUAAAUUGCAGUUCAUUGCCCUUGCAUACAUUUUGCAGUACAAAUAGCUAGACUGGAUCGAAAGACAACAAGGAAACCUAAGAACAGAAUUAUAUGUUGUCCCGCAAGACGCAAAAGAAAUACAAUGGUUGACCAGGUAUGAAGGAGAAUGCUACUGCCAUGUGCAAUCAAGCUUCAAAGAUAGCCCAAGAAACAAAGCACAAAACUACCAUGAUGCUAUAUCAAUAUGUCAGUGGCUUGGAUACACAGACCUAUUUGUGACAUUCACAUGCAAUGCAACUUGGCCACAGAUUCAAUCUAUGCUACAGGAAGUAGGCCAAGCAGAAUCAGAAAGAUCUGAUAUUGUUGACCGAGUGUUCCACAUAAAGCUCAAGGAGUUCAUGACAAAUGUAAGAGAAAGGGAAUACUUUGGAAAAACACGCACAAGUAAUACCCUGUUGACUUUAUCACACCUAUUAUUUUCUUUUCUAUAGAAAAUGAACUGACAACGAGGAUGAUGUGGUCAAGAACAGUCUACACAGAAAUAUUCUGAAGGUGGGAACCAAACAGGCACUUAUAGAUGCUACUAGCCUUUUUAGAUAACCUUAAGUACAUGGAGCAAAAAUGACUUUUCUAUGCUAAUAACAUGAUACGGCGGGACAAAUAUGAUCUACUACUCCCAGAAGUAUUCGAAACAUGCAUCAAUAUUCAAUGGAAAUAGCUCAAUAUUAUCAAUUAUCGACACUAUGUAUUAUCGGAUAUUUUAAGCUUAUCAUAUUGUGCAAUAUAACCG
rnacentral:lncRNA from 1 species